rnacentral:snRNA from 1 species
UAACUCUAGUCUCUCUUCAAAACUCAAAAAUCUUUCACCUUUUACUAAAGAUUUCCGUGGAGAGGGACUACUUUUUAUUUAUAAUGAUUUUUUAUUUUAAAGGCAGAUGUUGGUUUAG